rnacentral:lncRNA from 1 species
UUUUUGAGAAAGUAAUCCUAUUGGGAGUCUGACUCUUGAGAUUCGGAGAGCAGUGUCUCUUCGAUUUUUGAGAAAGUAAUUAUGUUGGGAGUCUAGCUCUCGGGAUUCGGAGGGGGGUGCCUCUUCGAUUUUUGAGCACGUAAUCCUAUUGGGAGUCUGGCUCUCGAGAUUCGGACAGCGGUGCCUCUUCGAUUUUUGAGCAAGCAAUCUUGUUGGGAGUGUUUUCUCGAAUGUGAGUAAAGGUUGGGGAUUUUUGCCAGUCUGCCUUGCCACAGAGUACGGAGGUUGACACACAUUGGGACUUUCUAGUAAUCAAGCAUUGGUGUUGUUCCUUUACCCUUGUGGGUAAUAGUAGGGUAGCUGGACCUUCAAAAUUUAUGUGUCUAACCUUUGUCAGAGAUCUUUGGCAAAGUUAUCUGUGGUACCCGAGGAGCUGAUGUUGCGUGUGGAAAGUG